UGAAAGAGUGAAAAUCACCAAUAAGAUCAAUCAAAAACCAAUCUUUUUAUCUUCUCCCACAAAAUUCACCAAAUAAUGAAACAUGGCAUCACAUGAACUUUCAUCAAUUUCAUGACACAGCAUAAAUUGAAUGUCAAACAGAGACUAGAAUUGGAAGAUAAUUUUGUAAAAUUGACUAAUAAGCUUUGAUCUUCCAAAUAUUGAAAGUGACAUGAAAAUUCGAAUGAAAUCUCCAAACUGAUUUCAUAACCACAAACCAAUCAGAACAGCUGAAAAGUUCAACCUUUUUUUGUAUACCCUUAAAGAAUCUGAAAACAAGAUUGAAGAUCCACCCUCAAGAAAGAGACCAAAUCCAAAGCAAAAGCCAUGACUCACACACCCAGACGGGAAAGACAAUACAAGAAAACAAAACAGAGUACCAAUAAACAAGCAAAACAGAACAGGUCCUCAAAGGAAGGUGAACAAGAACUAAAAAUCAAUUUUUUUUCACAAAGAAACAAUCUUUCCAACAAAUAAACCAGACCCAUCAACGAGAAAACUCCAAUUCAGAAACAAAAUCCAUUAAAACAAGUCGAAAGAAGAAGGAAAACUAACAAGAUGAACAGGGGCCUUUAUGUGUUUGACAAGUGCAGAAGUGCACUGAUUGUCCCUGAGUUCAUGCUUGUGAUGUCUCCUAAUGUACUGUGACUCAAUAGCACUGUAAGGUUCAUCACCAUUCAUCUCUUCUACCUCUCAGAAACUGAGCUCUUUUUUCUUAUGGUUGAUGCUGCUUCUCUCCCUCUAGAAGAUACAACAACAACAACAACAAGUGGAGAAGGAUAAGCUUUGGCUACAGAGAGAGAGAGAGAGUAGUUGGUGUGAAAAAGUGUCAACCCUUAUGCUUAGCUUGGCAGUUUAUCAAAAUUCAUGAAUCCACCGACAAUGAAGUUAUUUUAUUCGUUUUUUAGUUCAACAGUGAUCAAAAUUUCAACAAUGCUCAGAUCAUGUCAAUAUCAAUGUGAAGCAUAUUAUUGGAGGGUAUUAAUAUUAUUUUAUUUUAUAUUUUUUGUCAAUAUUAUUAUUUUAUCUCUUUUAUGUUGUUGUGAUUGUGAAUGCUCUGUCUCUUUGGCUAAUUAUUAUAUUUAUUGACAAUAAUAAGAAAUAAAGAAAAGAUGGAACAGGAAAAAAUUAAAAGAAAAGACAAAUGGGAUCAUCAUCGACAUCUCUUGUGAAUUUAUUUACUCAAUUAUAAGCAUUUUAUAAAUUUGAUGAUUAAGUAGUUUAGAUAUUGUAUUUAUUAUAUAUGGUAUUAAAGGAAAUGAUCAAUGAGUUUUUUCUUUCUUUCUUGUUGGUGGGUUAAAAAUGGAAAGGAAAUGAAAGUACAGCUCUAGUGCCACCACCAUGUGCUUCAGAUCUUUUAUUUGAGGUUGCAGCCAAUGCUUGUUAAGGUCAAACCUUGAAGUGGGUUUGACUUAACCUUUCAACACUUCCCAAAAAUUGACAAUAGUUAAAAUUUGAUGACGGCUUAUGAUUAUGUGUUAGAGCUCAUACCCCAACAUAUGGAAUAUCGCGAUAUUAUUAUCAAUUUCAUUUAGUGCGUAGGAGCACUUAAAAAUCGGACUAAAUAUAUGUUGUGAAAUUUUAUUUGUUCAUAAAUGAUAGCUCAAGUGGUAAGAGUUAUGUGACAUGUGUUAGGGUGAGGAGGUUCAGGGUCAGGAAUCAAUCUUUGGUACGAACAAUUUAUCUUUUCGAUGUAAAAAAAAAAGACAACAGUAAUAAUAAAAAAAAAAGAUAGGGGAAAAAAAAGACAAUCUCUAAUAAAAAUAAAUAAAUAAAAAACUCCAUUACGCUUCUGCUAAGCUUUGACAAGUGCAGAAGUGCACUGAUUGUCCCUGAGUUCAUGCUUGUGAUGUCUCCUAAUGUACUGUGACUCAAUAGCACUGUAAGGUUCAUCACCAUUCAUCUCUUCUACCUCUCAGAAACUGAGCUCUUUUUUCUUAUGGUUGAUGCUGCUUCUCUCCCUCUAGAAGAUACAACAACAACAACAACAAGUGGAGAAGGAUAAGCUUUGGCUACAGAGAGAGAGAGAGAGUAGUUGGUGUGAAAAAGUGUCAACCCUUAUGCUUAGCUUGGCAGUUUAUCAAAAUUCAUGAAUCCACCGACAAUGAAGUUAUUUUAUUCGUUUUUUA
rnacentral:lncRNA from 1 species